AAUCUUGUAUUAAAUUUUUCACAAGAUGUUGCUAGAAAUCCAUAUACUCUACUUUGGACAAGAAGAGGGCCAUAGCUUCUUGGACAUCUAAGUAAUAGGACUUCUUUCCAUUUUAAAUACAAAGCUUGUAGUUGACUUGCUAUUUGUUAAGUUCCUUGUCCAAUUAGUAUUUUUAAAACUUGUUAUAAUGUGAUUAAAAAUAUUGAUGUAGAAAAUUCCAUAAUUUAAUGUUCUUACAAUAUAAUAGAGGAUGUAUUUAGUUAUUGCAAGGUCAAGUUAUUGUGGUCACUACAUGAACUUGCUUAUAAUAUCAAUAGAGU
rnacentral:lncRNA from 1 species